GCAUGGACGAAUUCUGUGUUACUCUGACCAGUAGUAACUGCAGUCAGACACCAUGCAAGAGCAAACCUCAACCUCCAAUCUCUGUCGGUGACUAGUUUGUCUGCUCACUGAAGGGAGUUUGAGUACAUUA